UAAUAUUGAACUUGCAAGGCUCAAAUGCGUCAAAGUAAGUCUAUUAGAAAACUACCAAAUGCCAGGUACGUGUACUUGCUCAAUAAUAUAUUCACAAUUGGUCGAUUCAGAUAUAAUACUGUUUGAUAGCUGACCAACCGAAAGCUUUGCAUGGAUUUGAUACUUCGAAAGCACGAUUGUGUUGAUAGUAAGAUAUAACAAAGGUAUGAAAGAGGAUUGAAGAACUGAAGUGUCGCGCUCAAUGUGACAUCUUGGCUUAGCGCAUUAGGAACACUCAACCCAAGAAGUUCGCUUAGCAUAAGAAGACAACCUGGAGGCCAACGAUAGGGCGCAUCUGACGACUUAGCGCACAUUCACUUAUGUCAGCUGGAUUUUGCAUGUGCGCUCAGCACGGACGUGUAGACUUAGCACACAGUGGCGGUUCUGAUUGGUCAUCAAGUGAGAAGAUAUUUGCAAAAAGUGGUUUUUAUAUAUAAAAGCAACAUUCAUUCAUGGAGCAAGACUUCACUACAAAGCAAGGUAGCAGAAAGAAGAGACACAAUGCAGGAACUUCAUACCCAAUUAGUGCAAGGAAAAACCAUUUUCUGGAGCUCUAGCCAAUCCGUUUCACUCCAUUUUUCUUCCAUUUAUUUUACUGCACAUAUCUGUAAGCUUCUCAUGAUAAUAAGAGGCUAAAAUCCCACCAUUGUUGGGAGCUCUGCAAUCUAAACUCUCUUUGAUGUAAUGAUUCUAAACUAUUUAUUAAUAUGAUUUUGAUAUUAUUAUUCA